CACGUAGGGGACGAGCGUUGUCCGGAAUCAUUGGGCGUAAAGCGCGUGUAGGCGGUCCGGUAAGUCCGCUGUGAAAGUCGGGGGCUCAACCCUCGGAUGCCGGUGGAUACUGUCGGGCUUGAGUACGGAAGAGGCGAGUGGAAUUCCUGGUGUAGCGGUGAAAUGCGCAGAUAUCAGGAGGAACACCAGCGGCGAAGGCGGUGCUCUGGGCCGGAACUGACGCUGAGGAGCGAAAGCGUGGGGAGCGAACAGG
rnacentral:rRNA from 1 species